rnacentral:rRNA from 1 species
GACGAACGCUGGCGGCGUGCCUAAUACAUGCAAGUGGAACGCUGAAGCGAGGAGCUUACUCUUCUUGGAUGAGUUGCGAACGGGUGAGUAACGCGUAGGUAACCUGCCUUGUAGCGGGGGAUAACUAUUGGAAACGAUAGCUAAUACCGCAUAACAAUGGAUGACACAUGUCAUUUAUUUGAAAGGGGCAAUUGCUCCACUACAAGAUGGACCUGCGUUGUAUUAGCUAGUAGGUGAGGUAAUGGCUCACCUAGGCGACGAUACAUAGCCGACCUGAGAGGGUGAUCGGCCACACUGGGACUGAGACACGGCCCAGACUCCUACGGGAGGCAGCAGUAGGGAAUCUUCGGCAAUGGGGGCAACCCUGACCGAGCAACGCCGCGGGAGUGAAGAAGGUUUUCGGACCGUAAAGCUCUGUUGUAAGUCAAGAACGGGUGUGAGAGUGGAAAGUUCACACUGUGACGGUAGCUUACCAGAAAGGGACGGCUAACUACGUG